AUAUCAAUAAGCGGAGGAAAAGAAACCAACAGGGAUUGCCUCAGUAACGGCGAGUGAAGCGGCAACAGCUCAAAUUUGAAAUCUGGCCCCCUCGGGGUCCGAGUUGUAAUUUGCAGAGGAUGUUUCGGGUACCGCUCCGGUUUAAAUUUCUUGGAACAGAAUGUCAGAGAGGGUGAGAAUCCCGUCUUGGACCGGUGGUAGGGCCCGUGUGAAACUCCUUCGACGAGUCGAGUUGUUUGGGAAUGCAGACCUAAAUGGGUGGUAAAUACCAUCUAAAGCUAAAUACUAGCGAGAGACCGAUAGCGCACAAGUA
rnacentral:rRNA from 1 species